rnacentral:rRNA from 1 species
UACGAAGGGGGGCUAGCGUUGCUCGGAAUCACUGGGCGUAAAGCGCACGUAGGCGGAUCUUUUAAGUCAGGGGGUGAAAUCCUGGAGCUCAACUCCAGAACUGCCUUUGAUACUGGGGAUCUCGAGUCCGGAAGAGGUGAGUGGAACUCCGAGUGUAGAGGUGAAGUUCGUAGAUAUUCGGAAGAACACCAGUGGCGAAGGCGGCUCACUGGUCCGGUACUGACGCUGAGGUGCGAAAGCGUGGGGAGCAAACAGG